rnacentral:rRNA from 1 species
CCUACGGGUGGCAGCAGUGAGGAAUAUUGGUCAAUGGGCGAGAGCCUGAACCAGCCAAGUCGCGUGAAGGAUGACGGCCCUACGGGUUGUAAACUUCUUUUGUCAGGGAGCAAUUUGGUCCACGCGUGGGCUUAGCGAUAGUACCUGCAGACAAAGCAUCGGCUAACUCCGUGCCAGCAGCCGCGGUAAUACGGAGGAUGCGAGCGGUAUCCGGAUGUAUUGGGUUAAAAGGGUGCGUAGGCGGAAUAUCAAGUCAGCGGGAAAAAUUCGGGGCUCAAGCCCGUCGUGACGUUGAAACUGAUGUUCUGGAGUGGGCGAGAAGUAAGCGGAAUGCGUGGUGUAGCAGUGAAAUGCAUAGAUAUCACGCAGAACUCCGAUUGCGAAGGCAGCAUACCGGCGCACAACUGACGCUGAAGCACGAAAGCGUGGGUAUCGAACAGGAUUAGAUACCCUGGUAGUC